rnacentral:rRNA from 1 species
GGCUACACACGUGCUACAAUGGGUAGUACAGAGAGUCGCAAACCUGCGAGGGGGAGCUAAUCUCAGAAAACUAUUCUUAGUUCGGAUUGUACUCUGCAACUCGAGUACAUGAAGUUGGAAUCGCUAGUAAUCGCAAAUCAGCUAUGUUGCGGUGAAUACGUUCUCGGGUCUUGUACACACCGCCCGUCACACCACGAGAGUUGGUUGCACCUGAAGUAGCAGGCCUAACCGUAAGGAGGGAUGCUCCGAGGGUGUGAUUAGCGAUUGGGGUGAAGUCGUAACAAGGUAUCCGUACGGGAACGU